rnacentral:rRNA from 1 species
GACGAACGCUGGCGGCGUGCCUAAUACAUGCAAGUUGAGCGCUGAAGGUUGGUACUUGUACCAACUGGAUGAGCAGCGAACGGGUGAGUAACGCGUGGGGAAUCUGCCUUUGAGCGGGGGACAACAUUUGGAAACGAAUGCUAAUACCGCAUAAAAACUUUAAACACAAGUUUUAAGUUUGAAAGAUGCAAUUGCAUCACUCAAAGAUGAUCCCGCGUUGUAUUAGCUAGUUGGUGAGGUAAAGGCUCACCAAGGCGAUGAUACAUAGCCGACCUGAGAGGGUGAUCGGCCACAUUGGGACUGAGACACGGCCCAAACUCCUACGGGAGGGAGCAGUAGGGAAACUUCGGCAAUGGACGGAAGUCUGACCGAGCAACGCCGCGUGAGUGAAGAAGGUUUUCGGAUCGUAAAACUCUGUUGGUAGAGAAGAACGUUGGUGAGAGUGGAAAGCUCAUCAAGUGACGGUAACUACCCAGAAAGGGACGGCUAACUACGUG